rnacentral:rRNA from 1 species
GUUGAACGCUGGCGGCGUGCCUAACACAUGCAAGUCGAACGAGGGGCGGACGGGUGAGUCAUGUCUGGGAAACUGCUUGAUGGCGGGGGAUAACUCCUGGAACCGGUAGCUAAUACCGCUUACCUUCAGCUGUGCCCAGAUGGGAUUAGCUAGUGGGUGGGGUAAAGGCUCACCAAGGCGACGAUCCCUAGCUGGUCUGAGAGGGUGACCAGCCACACUGGAACUGAGACACGGUCCAGACUCCGACGGGAGGCAGCAGUAGGGAAUCGUGCACAAUGGGCGAAAGCCUGAUGCAGCAAUGCCGCGUGUGUGAAGAAGGCCUUCGGGUUGUAAAACACUUUUAGCGGGGAGGCGUUACCCACAGAAGAAGCACCGGCUAACUCCGUGCCAGCAGCCGCGGUAAUUC